GAUGAAGAACGUAGCGAAAUGCGAUAAGUAAUGCGAAUUGCAGAAUUCAGUGAGUCAUCGAAUCUUUGAACGCACAUUGCGCCCUGUGGUAUUCCGCAGGGCAUGCCUGUUCGAGCGUCAUUUCAACCCUCAAGCUCAGCUUGGUGUUGGGCCCCGCCGCCCCGGCGGGCCCUAAAGUCAGUGGCGGUGCCGUCCGGCUCCGAGCGUAGUAAUUCUUCUCGCUCUGGAGGUCCGGUCGUGUGCUCGCCAGCAACCCCCAAUUUUUUUCAGGUUGACCUCGGAUCAGGUAGGGAUACCCGCUGAACUUAAGCAUAUCAAUAAGCGGAGGA
rnacentral:misc_RNA from 1 species